GGGAAUAGCUCAGUUGGUAGAGCAUCAGCCUUCCAAGCUGAGGGUCGCGGGUUCGAGUCCCGUUUCCC
rnacentral:tRNA from 1 species